GAUGAAGAACGCAGCGAAAUGCGAUAAGUAAUGCGAAUUGCAGAAUUUCCGUGAGUCAUCGAAUCUUUGAACGCACAUUGCGCCCACUGGUAUUCCGGUGGGCAUGCCUGUUCGAGCGUCAUUAUCCUCCCUCAAACCUCGGGUUUGGUGUUGGACCCAAGUUGUGUGAACAACUGGUCUCAAAGACAAUGACGGCGUCCGUGGGACCCUCGGUGCAACGAGCUUUUAGGAGCACGCGUCGAGUUUCAAGGACCUUCCGGGCCGGUCUCCUUUACUAUUUUUACAAGGUUGACCUCGGAUCAGGUAGGAAUACCCGCUGAACUUAAGCAUAUCAAUAACGGAGGA
rnacentral:misc_RNA from 1 species